UAUACUAUUUUUUUUUGGUAAACCUAUAUUCUAUUUUUGAGUAAGCUUAUAUUACUUUAAAUUGUUGAACCCCUAUUUAAAGUGUACCUUUAAACUAUGUUUCUAUUAAGAUCACCUCUCUGGUAUAUGCUACUGGUGAAACAAAGAGAUGGGAACAAAAAGACCCCUAUUCUAUAGGCCUGUUUAUGUCUUAAACCCAGACCACUUCCUUUAUUCGUAGAGUACAUAAAUCAUGAAUGACCAGUGGAUACACUUACUGGUACCCCUUUGUCUUGGGGAUAGGGAAUAGUGGGGUUGUUUGCCUGGUUUGGAAGAAAGAUUGGCUUUCUCGUUGAGAGCAAGUUUAGACUUCAAGGCAGAUAGACGUGUGAUGUAACUUCCCCCAGAAGUUACUAUGUCGCAGCUUUUUAAGACCUGCCUUGAUUUUGUUUCUUAACAGAGUUCCACCAUGGUUCCACCAUGGUUCCACUUCCAUUUCCCUCGGGACAAGAGUUGGGACUGCUGUCGUUGUUCAGGCAACGCUCUCCGCCUGAUCGAUGUAUUUAGUGCUUAUUGACGAACGACUCGUGUUUUAUUAUUGGUGCUUUAUAUGAACAUCUAUACUUUUCUUCUAUUCCUUGAUAUUUUUCUAAUGUAUACUGUAGUUUACUUUGCUCCUUUUCUAUCAUUUUUUGUAUACCUGUACAACAUAUUGUAAAGCUUUGCAUGUAGCUGUUUUUGUAAGAAUUGUUUGUUUGAAAUCGGAAAUGCCAGUUGUCACACUGGGAAUUUAUUAUCGGUGUACCUUUGACACUGAAUAUUAAUAAAUACCUCUUUGGAAUUAUCAUUGGCACAAAA
rnacentral:lncRNA from 1 species